rnacentral:rRNA from 1 species
CAGUCGCCGCGGUAAUACGUAGGUCCCGGGCGUUGUCCGGAUUUAUUGGGCGUAAAGCGAGCGCAGGCGGUUAGAUAAGUCUGAAGUUAAAGGCUGUGGCUUAACCAUAGUACGCUUUGGAAACUGUUUAACUUGAGUGCAAGAGGGGAGAGUGGAAUUCCAUGUGUAGCGGUGAAAUGCGUAGAUAUAUGGAGGAACACCGGUGGCGAAAGCGGCUCUCUGGCUUGUAACUGACGCUGAGGCUCGAAAGCGUGGGGAGCAAACAGGAUUAGAUACCCCUGUAGUCCCUGUCUCUUAUACA